CAGCAGCCACGGGAACACGGAGGGUGCAAGCGUUAAUCGGAAUUACUGGGCGUAAAGCGCACGCAGGCGGUCUGACAAGUCAGAUGUGAAAUCCCCGGGCUUAACCUGGGAACUGCAUUUGAAACUGUCAGGCUGGAGUCUUGUAGAGGGGGGUGGAAUUCCAGGUGUAGCGGUGAAAUGCGUAGAGAUCUGGAGGAAUACCGGUGGCGAAGGCGGCCCCCUGGACAAAGACUGACGCUCAGGUGCGAAAGCGUGGGGAGCAAUCAGGAUUAGAUACCCCUGUAGUCCCUGUCUCUUAUAC
rnacentral:rRNA from 1 species